UAAAAAGCGUAGAUAGGAAACUGAGUAGUAAUUACUUCCCUGUUUCAGAGAGUCGAUGGGUGGUGUGAAUCGACACAUAGGUAAUGCGAAUUACAAUCCUUGAGCUUUCUUUGCGACAAGCAAAGGCGGGCGAGCCGUUAUUCGUUUGAGUGGAAGAAUUAGAUUCUUCAAUAAGGGUGGUACCGCGUGCAAAACCACGUCCCUUUU
rnacentral:ncRNA from 1 species